AGUUAGUUGGGCUAAGGAGCUCAAACAAGUGUCCGUUCCCUGUCGCUGCUCCGGGUCCUGCCCGGUGGGGAACCGCGUGGUGCAGGCCUGGGUGCGGAGGACACGGCGGGGUGUCGCGGGGACCUGAAACCUCCCGGAGCCGCAGUCUCCGCGCGGGCGGCCUGGGAAAGUCACAGUCACAGCGCAGUGGCGGGAACCGCAGCCCGGCGGCCCUGGAACCUCCCAGGUCAGAGGAGCUGCGCGGAGGGAAGGACCGGGGUGCGAGCAGUUUCUCUGCUGUUCCUAAGGAAGCCGGCUCCGAAAUUCUGCUGUGAAUGUCUUUCCCUUGUCGAAAUUUAGGUGUUGUCUGAAGAAUCUGUUUAUAUGCAGUGCUCACUCAUCAGCCAGCCUUGCUCACCUGGAGAGCAGAACAAAGAGCCCUGGAAAGUGGAAAGGGAAGGUACAGUAGCUGAGGAUUCAGGGUCUGUUGACAUUCCAGGAUGUAGCCGUGGACUUCUCCCAGGAGGAGUGGGAAUGCCUGGACUCUGUUUAGAAGACCUUAUACAUUGAUGUGAUCUUGGAGAAUUACAGCAACCUGGUCUCUGUGGGUGAAAACAUUUUAUUUGUAGUAUUCCUAACUCAUUUUAUAUAUAUACCAACUUUAUAGGUUGUAAACUCUCUGUUAAGCUGUCUUGGAAACAAUAGGGGACUACAGCAACUUUGGUAGUAGAAAUGAACUUUUUCAUGAUAUUUAAUUUUUUUCCUUCAUUUUCCAUUUUUUCCACGAUGCAUUCAAAAACUUAAUUACAUAUAAUAUUUGCACCCAAAUCUUCUUUUUCAUU